UUUCCUACGGGAGGCAGCAGUAGGGAAUAUUGCUCAAUGGGCGAAAGCCUGAAGCAGCAACGCCGCGUGCGUGAUGAAGGUCUUCGGAUCGUAAAGCGCUUUUCUGGGAGAUGAGAAAGGACAGUAUCCCAGGAAUAAGUCUCGGCUAACUACGUGCCAGCAGCCGCGGUAAAACGUAGGAGGCAAGCGUUAUCCGGAUUCACUGGGCGUAAAGCGCGUGCAGGUGGCGCGGUAAGUUGGAUGUGAAAUCUCCCGGCUCAACUGGGAGAGGUCAUUCAAUACUACCGUGCUUGAGAGCAGAAGAGGAAGAUGGAAUUCCCGGUGUAGUGGUGAAAUGCGUAGAUAUUGGGAGGAACACCAGUGGCGAAGGCGAUCUUCUGGUCUGUUUCUGACACUCAGACGCGACAGCUAGGGUAGUAAACGGGAUUAGAGACCCCGGUAAUCCUAGCCGUAAACGAUGUGAACUUGGCGUUGGUGGGUUAAACUCCAUCAGUGCCGCAGCAAACGCGAUAAGUUCACCGCCUGGGGACUACGGCCGCAAGGUUAAAACUCAAAGGAAUUGACGGGGGCCCGCGCAAGCAGCGGAGCGUGUGGUUUAAUUCGAUGCUACACGAAGAACCUUACCCAGGCUUGACAUACAGGUGGUAGGGAUCCGAAAGGUGACCGACCCGCAAGGGAGCCUGUACAGGUGUUGCAUGGCUGUCGUCAGCUCGUGUCGUGAGAUGUUCGGUUAAGUCCGCUAACGAGCGCAACCCUCGCUGCGUGUUACAAGUGUCACGCAGGACCGCCGGUAUUAAGCCGGAGGAAGGUGGGGAUGACGUCAAGUCAGCAUGGCCUUUAUGCCUGGGGCUACACACACGCUACAAUGGGCAGUACAAUGGGUUGCUAAGCCGCGAGGUGGAGCCAAUCCCCCAAAACUGUCCUCAGUUCAGAUUGCAGGCUGCAACUCGCCUGCAUGAAGCCGGAGUUGCUAGUAAACGCGCGUCAGCUAUAGUGCGUUGAAUACGUUCUCGGGCCUUGUACACACCGCCA
rnacentral:rRNA from 1 species